rnacentral:lncRNA from 1 species
GUGCAAGUCCAGGGAGGCUGAGGUAAAGAGCAUUGACAGAGUGAGAUCUUCAGAGGAAAGCACUUUCUCUGCCCACCUUCACUUGUGGUCAGGGAGGAGAUGAAAGAUGUCUCAAGAGAAUCUCCCCAAAUGUGCUGCUUGGAGUUGCAAGAAGAAACGGAGUCUUGCCUUUCCUGAGAGCUUUCACCAACAGUGCCCAGAGGAGACAGUGUCCCAAGGAACAGACCAGAACGCAACCCCCAUUGCUCCCCUGGAAUCAUCUGAAAAGGAAUCUCGCAGGUACUCAAGAUGCCCUGUGCCAGAAAGGAGGAAAAUCAGAUCUGCAGGUGCCACCUGUGCAGUGAAAACAACGGAAAGACUACAGAGGUGGUACCAGGACGAAGGCAAAAGGAGAGCACUCAACUCAAGAAUCAAGAAUCCCAGGCCUGAUUCUGCCAGCAUUUGAGUUUGGAGAGGUCAGCAGGGACCAGCAAUCAAAUGCCUUUACAGUCUUGCUGAGGAAUUUAGACUUUAUCCUGGGCACUGGGGCAUGACAAGGUCAGAGCAGAGUUCUCGGCAACAGUUUGAGGGUAGAGUCGAGGAGAAGAAUUGGAUUGGAAAUGAGAAGAUGAGUUAGGAUUCAGUCCAGGUGAAACGCAAUGGGAGGAUAGGCCAGGACUGAAGCCCUGGACUUGGGAAAGAGGACAAAUAAUGAGCCUUUAGAAGCAGAACUAACUGAAAGGGCUUAGAGACAAUUAAAUAUGAGAAGGGGAAAGAAAGGGGAAGGAGGAAGUCAAAGAUAAGCUGAGGGGCCAGAGAGUAUCACACAGGUAAAACCAUAGUUUUCACAAACUUGUUAUGGCUGGAUAAAUGUGUGUAGGUACAAGUUGGCCCCCAUCAGGAAGUCUUUCCUUCCAGGGCUAUCAAAUGCAUGCACAAAGUGGACUCUAUCUGCGAUUCUAAAACUUCAGUCACCUGCAUACUGAAAAACUAAUUCACAGGGGCUGGGGAUUUAGCUCAGUGGCACUAUGCCUGCCUUGAAAGCACAAGGUCCUGAGUUUGAUCCCCAAUACCAAAAAAAAAAAAAGAAAAGCUAGUUUGCAGUUUUUGCCACAUUCAAUUAAUACCUGCUCCACUAAUUAUUGGUAUUUUUAAUAAAGUUAUUUUUUACUUAAAUAUUUACUGUUCAUCCUAAAAAAAUGAAGACAACCAUAUCUGUGAAAUCAUGACGUUGAUAUACCUGCUGUGCUUUUAUGUGUAUUGAAACAAUUGAAAUACAUGACUAUUAAGAUUUAAAAUGUAUCUUUGUGCUGGGUGUGGUGAUGCAUGCCUAGAAUCCCAGCACUGGGGAGGCUGAGGCCGGAGGAUCACCAUGAGUUCAAGGCCAGCCUGGGCUACAGAGUGAGUUCAAGGCCACCCUGAACUACAUGGCAAGACCCUAUCUAAAAAAAAAAAAUGUAUCUAUGUGCUACUUUAAAUUAUUAUUUCCCAUUACCUUCAAUUAUAUGCAGGACAGACUCAGGGAAACCCUGACCUGAGUGGUAGCAAAAGGUAUAAGGAUUAUACAUAUUUUGCUUUCUGUGGCCUGUGCUUGGUUUCCAUUCAGACUGUAUCAGUGUCCAGCCCUGAUGCAGGCCAGGUCCUUGCAUCCAUCGCCCACACAGCCCUGCCCUGCAGGCAGUGACCUUUAGCGGAGCUGGAACAGAGGUUGGUGUCCCAGCAAAUGGGGGCUGACUGGCUGAGUCUUCUUCACUCAGCAUCUCUGUCCCAGCCUCUGAAGCACUGCAGCACUUGUCUGAGGCAAGUGAGCAUGUGUCUCUUGGAUUCUACAGCCGAGAGGGCCCUGGGGCUCCCUUCCCUUCUCUGCUGUUUUCCUCACACCUUCCCAAGGCCUCAGGUGUGGGUCUGAACAUGGAGGGCUGCACCUUCAACACCCGAUGUGCAGAGAUCAUCUCUCAGACUGUUUUCAAGCCAAAGGCAAAUGGAAUGUACACUACUAACUGGCCGGGGGACAGGAGGCUCAGCACCAAACAUCUCUGAGCCUCAGUUUCCGCCUGUGUAAAGUGGGCAGGGUUAGGCUGCUGAGCUCAGAAGUGUCUGCAGCUCUGACAACUCACCGUACUGAAGAGUUUGGAGACCUGUCUUUUCUCUACUUCUUUUUGUAUGUGUGUCGGGGGGGGGG